GUCUUCCAUGAAGAAAACAUGUAUUUAGGAACACCAUUUAAGCACACAAAAAAAUACAUUUCAUUUAAUUGUUUAAUUAUUUUUUCUUCCUACUUUUUUCUUUAAAUUGGUGCUUGUGUGUCCAAAUAGAGUUUUUAAAUAUUUGUGACCAAUGAAGUAUUUUUCGUGUUAGUAUGCCGCUCAUUUGUACUAUGCAUGGGUUGAAUUUUUAUUAUUAUUUAUGUCUUGUGUGUCUAUGUUUAAACCCAAAUCAUCAUUUAAAUCUUUGAAUGUAUCAAACGAUGUCAUUAUAGUUCUUCAAUAUAACAAAAUUACUCAUAAAUAUAUCUCUAAAUAUGGUUUUCGUCAAUGAAUUUGGUUGUCUUGGUCUUUUGAUCUCUUCCCGUGAACUCCAGAUUCCAAUUUUAAUAGCAACAACAAACCCAUACUCAGACUUCCGCAACAAUAUUGGUGUCGUAAAAUUUUAUUUUCUUUUACAGAAGAAACGUUAGAUAUAGGAGUCAAAUAAUUUUUGGUCUCUAUAAAAAUAUCAAUUCAUGAAAUUAUUCCCUAUAAAUAUAAACACAAUGCUUUCAUCCUCGUUAAAUUUUCAUUUUUAGUUUUAGUCCUGACAUGUGGUCAACUAUUAGUUGACUUACAAAAUUCCACAUGUAUUAAAUCCUACAUGUAUUGCCACAUCAAUUCUAAACUAAACUAUUACUUUUGCAUCUUAAGUUGCCCUUGGUGUUAGGUUGUUUUGAUGAUUGUUGUUUACGUUUUCAUAGUAAUUAAAAAAUAUGUUAAAGCAUCAUAGUCAUUGAUGAUCUUAAUUUCCUACAAUGUGUCUUGUGUUAAAUUGUGUUUAAGGUGGUUCAUAUGUGUAAAGUUUUGUUAAAACUUCUUUCCAAGCUUCGUGAAUAAGUCGUUUUGGGUAAAAAAAAAAA
rnacentral:lncRNA from 1 species